GAUGAACGCUGGCGGCGUGCCUAAUACAUGCAAGUAGAACGCUGAAGGAAGGAGCUUGCUCUUUCCGGAUGAGUUGCGAACGGGUGAGUAACGCGUAGGUAACCUGCCUGGUAGCGGGGGAUAACUAUUGGAAACGAUAGCUAAUACCGCAUAACAGUAGAUGUUGCAUGAUAUCUACUUAAAAGGUGCAAUUGCACCACUACCAGAUGGACCUGCGUUGUAUUAGCUAGUUGGUGAGGUAACGGCUCACCAAGGCGACGAUACAUAGCCGACCUGAGAGGGUGAUCGGCCACACUGGGAGGGAGACACGGCCCAGACGCCUACGGGAGGCAGCAGUAGGGAAUCUUCGGCAAUGGACGGAAGUCUGACCGAGCAACGCCGCGUGAGUGAAGAAGGGUGUCGGAUCGUAAAGCUCUGUUGUAAGAGAAGAACGAGUGUGAGAGUGGAAAGUUCACACUGUGACGGUAUCUUACCAGAAAGGGACGGCUAACUACGUG
rnacentral:rRNA from 1 species